UACUGAUAAAAAUUGGAUGAUUGUAUUUACUGAUAAUGAGGAUGAUAUGAUGCUUGUUGGAGAUGACCCUUGGCAGGAAUUUUGUGCUAUGGUCCGUCAGAUUUUUAUAUACACAAAAGAGGAGGUCCAGAAGAUGGAUUCAAGUACCUUGAACCCAAAAAAUGAAGAUUGUCCUGAUAUGAAAGAGAA